rnacentral:rRNA from 1 species
AUUGAACGCUGGCGGCAGGCCUAACACAUGCAAGUCGAGCGGUAGAGAGAAGCUUGCUUCUCUUAAGAGCGGCGGACGGGUGAGUAAAGCCUAGGAAUCUGCCUGGUAGUGGGGGAUAACGUUCGGAAACGGCCGCUAAUACCGCAUACGUCCUACGGGAGAAAGCAGGGGAUCUUCGGGCCUUGCGCUAUCAGAUGAGCCUAGGUCGGAUUAGCUAGUUGGUGAGGUAAUGGCUCACCAAGGCGACGAUCCGUAACUGGUCUGAGAGGAUGAUCAGUCACACUGGAACUGAGACACGGUCUAGACUCCUACGGGAGGCAGCAGUGGGGAAUAUUGGACAAUGGGCGAAAGCCUGAUCCAGCCAUGCCGCGUGUGUGAAGAAGGUCUUCGGAUUGUAAAGCACUUUAAGUUGGGAGGAAGGGCAUUAACCUAAUACGUUAGUGUUUUGACGUUACCGACAGAAUAAGCACCGGCUAACUCUGUGCCAGCCGCCGCGGUAA